rnacentral:rRNA from 1 species
UGGCAGUCGAACGGUAAGGNCCUUCGGGGUACACGAGUGGCGAACGGGUGAGUAACACGUGGGUGAUCUGCCCUGCACUUUGGGAUAAGCCUGGGAAACUGGGUCUAAUACCGAAUACACCUCUCCGGCUGCAUGGCUGGUGGGGGAAAGCUUUUGCGGUGUGGGAUGGGCCCGCGGCCUAUCAGCUUGUUGGUGGGGUGAUGGCCUACCAAGGCGACGACGGGUAGCCGGCCUGAGAGGGUGUCCGGCCACACUGGGACUGAGAUACGGCCCAGACUCCUACGGGAGGCAGCAGUGGGGAAUAUUGCACAAUGGGCGCAAGCCUGAUGCAGCGACGCCGCGUGGGGGAUGACGGCCUUCGGGUUGUAAACCCCUUUCAGCACAGACGAAGCGCAAGUGACGGUAUGUGCAGAAGAAGCACCGGCCAACUACGUGCCAGCAGCCGCGGUAAUACGUAGGGUGCGAGCGUUGUCCGGAAUUACUGGGCGUAAAGAGCUCGUAGGUGGUUUGUCGCGUUGUUCGUGAAAACUCACAGCUCAACUGUGGGCGUGCGGGCGAUACGGGCAGACUAGAGUACUGCAGGGGAGACUGGAAUUCCUGGUGUAGCGGUGGAAUGCGCAGAUAUCAGGAGGAACACCGGUGGCGAAGGCGGGUCUCUGGGCAGUAACUGACGCUGAGGAGCGAAAGCGUGGGGAGCGAACAGGAUUAGAUACCCUGGUAGUCCACGCCGUAAACGGUGGGUACUAGGUGUGGGUUUCCUUCCUUGGGAUCCGUGCCGUAGCUAACGCAUUAAGUACCCCGCCUGGGGAGUACGGCCGCAAGGCUAAAACUCAAAGAAAUUGACNGGGGCCCGCACAAGCGGCGGANCAUGUGGAUUAAUUCGAUGCAACGCGAAGAACCUUACCUGGGUUUGACAUGCACAGGACGCUGGUAGAGAUAUCAGUUCCCUUGUGGCCUGUGUGCAGUGGUGCAUGGCUGUCGUCAGCUCGUGUC